rnacentral:sRNA from 1 species
UUCUAAACCGGAUUGCAGGGGAGAUCCUUUUUUGAGGCCAUGAGCAGUGGGGCAGGAGGACAAAAAAGAUCGCAUCGAAAAGCCGGAGUAACA